rnacentral:rRNA from 1 species
GAUGAACGCGGGCGGCGUGCCUAAUACAUGCAAGUCGAGCGAACAGACGAGGAGCUUGCUCCUCUGACGUUAGGGGCGGACGGGUGAGUAACACGUGGAUAACCUACCUAUAAGACUGGGAUAACUUCGGGAAACCGGAGCUAAUACCGGAUAAUAUAUUGAACCGCAUGGUUCAAUAGUGAAAGACGGUUUUGCUGUCACUUAUAGAUGGAUCCGCGCCGCAUUAGCUAGUUGGUAGGGUAACGGCUUACCAAGGCAACGAUGCGUAGCCGACCUGAGAGAGGGGUCGCCGGCACGGGAGCGGGGACAGGGACAAGACGCCUGCGGUAGGCAGCAGAAGGGAAUGUGCGGCAGUAGGCGAAAGCCUGACGGAGCGACGGCGCGUGAGAGAUAAAGAUCUUCGGAUCGUAAAACUCUGUUAUGAGGUGAGAACAAAUGUGUAAGGAACUAUACACGUCUUGACGGUACCUGAUCAGAAAGCCACGGCUAACUACGUG